UAAAUCAAAUAAUUUAAUCAAUAUUCACCCACUCUAAUUUAUAUCCAGCUUGAAAAACACUGUAUAUUUAGAGAAAGGAUUAGAGUGACCAGUUUCAUUAUCCUUAUCUGCAUGGGCCAAAUCUUUGGGAAUGCUUUUUCUACUAGAUAAUACAUGUUCUUGAGGAGAGAAAAUCCUACGCUGCUUUGCAGGUCAACAUUUUGAUGGUAGAAAACAAAAUCUAGCAAACAAUCAUCUAUUACAUAGUACUUCACAAAGGAAAUACUGCUAAGACUUAUAAAUGGAAGCCUAGCCACGUUACUGUUAGGAAACGAAUGUGGCCCUGGAGCAGACCCAUCAGUCCAUGUUUUAUGAACAGAUUGAAUGUGUCAUUAGCAUCUACCGUUGUUUAUUACAAUGUAGGUUUAAUAGUUGGUCCUCCACUCAGCUCAGAUUCUCAAUAGCAGGCAGCAUGCUUAUCUGUCUUCGUAUCUCCAAGGACUGGAAAGUAGUUGUAACCCUUGACAUACAGUAGGUACUUCAUAAAUGCUUAUCAAAAGACUGAAAAAGGACAAACAUAGAGAAAAGUAUAUUUACUAGACUUCCAUAAUCCAUACUUACUUAAAAUCCAAUCUAGAAAUAACAUGACUUAUAUUAGGCAAUAUACUUUGAAGACCUGUACAACAGCGUAAUCACAGCAGGGUCUUGCUAACUCACAAGUGUGUUCCAGGCAUACAUGCUGCAAAAACCUCUCUCCUGGGGUCCCAGGGGCUUUCAAAUGUUCCACCAGGGGCAGUCAAGACUAGAUUAACGGUGCUCUCUUCAUCAUGCGCACGAAAUGUUUUCCCAUAACACCAUAUUAUCACAAGUCUAUGAACAAUUCUGGUUUGCUAAGGUAAGCAAUAUAGAACUCUUUCCAAAUAAUAGUAUUUCAAUUAUGCCACGUAAGUAAACAAUUUGCUGUGAACUGUCCUGUGUUCUAAUCAUUUAAUACAUUGCUUCUAUAAGAAAAUACUAUUUGUUAAAUUUUAGUCGUAAUUUAAUAUCAUUCUCAUUAUAGAUUGCAGAUGCAAAUAAUAGUGAACAAAAUGUUUAUCUCAAUUUUUCUUUCACAUUUUUAUGCUUUGAAAAUUCAGAAUGGAUAAAAACAAAUGAAGUACAAAAUAUUUCAGAUGUACAUAGUGAUAAACAAGAAAGCGCUUAAGAUUAUCAGGAGGACUUACAAAUGGAAGUAUACUCUAGAACCAUCAUCUAUCAUGGCUAAAUGUGAGAUUAGCACAGCUGUAUUAUUUGUACAUUGCAAACACCUAGAAAGAGAUGGGAAACAAAAUCUUAGCAGUUUUGUAUGUGGAGUCCUGGGUUUUCCAACAGACAUCAUUCCAACAUUCUGAGAUUAAAGUGACUGGGGAUCGUUUUGGAGUUGGAAUGUUUAACAAAAGUGAUGUUGUUAGGUAAAAUGUCCAACUUCUGGAUCUAUGCAGACAUCAAAGGUGCAAUGAGUCUGGCUUUCACUCUGCUGUUUCUUUCACACUUUAGAUUUUAAAGUAAGUCUCAAGGAAUUUUUCUUUCCAAUUUGAGAACUCACUUUAAAAUGGAAACACGCAACGAAAAACAGAUGCUGCUUUCCAGAACUCCACUGUCAUAAAAUACAAUAUUUGCUAAAGAGAUUUAAAAAUUAGAAUGCUUAUUUCUUGCAAAGUACACCAUGGAAAACCCUGGGGGGGAAAUUCUUGACAAAUGUAUCCAUUAACUGCAUUUAAAACUUCUGAUUGCCUUUUUUGACCAUGUUAUUGCUAAACAGCAAAACAAACAAAAAAACAAAAACAAAAACAAAAGCAAAAACAAAAAAAGCCUACAUCCCAGCUAGAUUUCUUCCUUUAGAAUAUGGUAGUGUCUUUGAUAUUUUGUACCAUGUGUAAUAGUUUAAAUAGUAAAGAAGUGACCAUGCAUCAAGCUGAAGGUACUGAGUGACUAAUGCUCAAGAGCUAGCUCUUUAAAACUAUAAAUAUGGUUACUGUAUUAUGAGUAUAUCCACUAAUGUCUCAUAAGAUACUCUUAAUGA
rnacentral:lncRNA from 1 species